GAUGAACGCUGGCGGCGUGCUUAACACAUGCAAGUCGAACGGAAAGGCCCCAGCUUGCUGGGGUACUCGAGUGGCGAACGGGUGAGUAACACGUGGGUGAUCUGCCCUGCACUUUGGGAUAAGCUUGGGAAACUGGGUCUAAUACCGAAUAUGACCACUUCUUGGAUGUUGUGGUGGAAAGCUUUUGCGGUGUGGGAUGAGCCUGCGGCCUAUCAGCUUGUUGGUGGGGUAAUGGCCUACCAAGGCGGCGACGGGUAUCCGGCCUGAGAGGGUGUACGGACACAUUGGGACUGAGAUACGGACCAGACUCCUACGGGAGGCAGCAGUGGGGAAUAUUGCACAAUGGGCGCAAGCCUGAUGCAGCGACGCCGCGUGGGGGAUGUAGGCCUUCGGGUUGUAAACUCCUUUCGCUAUCGACGAAGCCACUUGUGGUGACGGUAGGUAGAUAAGAAGCACCGGCUAACUACGUGCCAGCCGCCGCCGUAA
rnacentral:rRNA from 1 species